CAUCUUACUAGACAGUGCUGGAUUGUGUGCUCUGAUUCUAACACUGUCUGGUAACGAUGUU
rnacentral:pre_miRNA from 1 species